UACGUAGGGGGCAAGCGUUGUCCGGAUUUAUUGGGCGUAAAGCGCUCGCAGGCGGCUCGAUGCGUCGUGCGUGAAACACCCCGGCUCAACUGGGGAGGGUCGUGCGAUACGGUCGGGCUGGAGGCCAGUAGGGGGAUGCGGAAUUCCUGGUGUAGCGGUGAAAUGCGCAGAUAUCAGGAGGAACACCGGUGGCGAAGGCGGAUCUCUGGGCCGUAACUGACGCUGAGGAGCGAAAGCAUGGGGAGCGAACAGG
rnacentral:rRNA from 1 species